CCCAAUUUGUCUAGUUCGGCACGUAGGUGGGUCCGAUCGUCGUCCGAGAGGACAGCGGGCAUCAUCGCCGGCGGUGCGGCCUCGUCGCAGAGGCGCGCCAACGAAUCGACGCCCAACAUCGAGGCCGUAAAGUGCAGGCCCUUGGCCGAGGCCCAGUCGAUGCAGCCGGCGCCGUGGCGCAGGUAUUCGAGCAUGGCGCGAAAGUGGGUCGGGUCGCAGUUGACAUAGUGGGGUGCGUCGGGAGGCGCCUCGGCCAUGGCGGCUAGGACCGAGCCCUCGUCGGCCGUCGCCAACAGGGCCGCGGGCACGCGCACCGUCUCGCCGGCCACGUCAAUCUCGACCAGACGUGUCGUGUCCACCGCCGCCACCACUGCUGCCGUUGCUACUGCCAGGCCCGAGUGGGAAUCAGACAGAGAGGAAGAAGAAGAAGAGGAGGAGGAGUCGCUCAUGGUCGUUGUGCGGUUUUGUUUUUAAAUCACAAUGUCUGCCUCUCUCUCUGCAGUUGUUUUGCGGUUAAAUGCACGCACGCCGUGCCGUCUCUUGUCC
rnacentral:lncRNA from 1 species